GAUAAGUUCAGUUUUCAGUUUCUACAUAAAAUGUUUGAUUUUUUGUCUUAUUUGAAUUUUUUAAUCAAUAUUUUUAUUGUUAUUUGACGAUAAAACAUGAAUAUUAAGUUACGCCUGACUAAUUUUUUUAUGUUUUUCUAUAAAUAAGAUGGAUGAUCAAACGUUGGACAUAGAAAUCGAGAAAUGAAGUUUUU
rnacentral:pre_miRNA from 1 species